UUUAGCAUGGAAUAAUGGAAUAGGACGUCGGUUCUAUUUUGUUGGUUUCUAGGACCGCCGUAAUGAUCAAUAGGGACGGUCGGGGGCAUCAGUAUUCAGCCGUCAGAGGUGAAAUUCUUGGACCGGCUGAAGACUAACUACUGCGAAAGCAUUUGCCAAGGACGUUUUCGCUGAUCAGGAACGAAAGUUAGGGGAUCGAAGACGAUCAGAUACCGUCGUAGUCUUAACCAUAAACUAUGCCGACUAGGGAUCGGACGGAGUUCUUUCUAGACCCGUUCGGCACCUUUCGAGAAAUCAAAGUGCGUGGGCUCCAGGGGGAGUAUGGCGGCAACGCUGAAACUUAAAGAAAUUGACGGAAGGGCACCACCAGGGGUGGAACCUGCGGCUUAAUUUGACUCAACACGGGGAAACUCACCAGGUCCGGACACAAUGAGGAUUGACAGAUUGAGAGCUCUUUCUUGAUUUUGUGGGUGGUGGUGCAUGGCCGUUCUUAGUUGGUGGGGUGACUUGUCUGCUUAAUUGCGAUAACGAACGAGACCUUGACCCCUAAAUAGCUCGCACCGCCCCGGCGGUGUUGCGGCUUCUUAGUGGGACUAUCGGCUCAAGCCGAUGGAAGUUCGAGGCAAUAACAGGUCUGUGAUGCCCUUAGAUGUCCUGGGCCGCACGCGCGUUACACUGACAGAGCCAGCGAGUUUUUCCCUUGGCCGGAAGGCCCGGGUAAUCUUGUGAAACUCCGUCGUGCUGGGGAUAGAGCAUUGCAAUA
rnacentral:rRNA from 1 species